UGACCACCUACCUAAUGCAAAUGCUGAGGAUGGUCUAGUAUAUGCCAAACCUAUGACACUUUUUUUUUUUUUUUUGCAUCUGAUAGCAGUUUGCCAGAGGCAGUCAACUAUAAACAGGCUUUUAGGCUGACAAUCCAAGGCUCCUCACAGAAUUGACUCAGCGGAUAUUUUGUCCAAGGCCAUCUGCUUAGCUGUGACUCCCCUGAAGAAUCAGAGCCUCUUGACUUGAAAAAAAUCUCAGAAGAUUAUCUAGUCCACCCCUUAUUCCAAGGAGGUUUCUGCAUGAUGAAGGAUGGGUGGAGAUGGUCAGAAAGGAAAGGAAGGCAAGAAGUUGGUAGAGAAGGAGCAGAGAGUGAGACUAUGUCUUCAUCAGAGCUGCAGCUUUCCAGAUGAGUCACUUUUUCACAACUGAUACUGUCAUCUUUAACUACGUGAAGAUGGAGAGAGUAGCAGGAGCGGAUCUGGUCAUUGUGACGUGAGCUUCCUAGUUGAUGUCUUUGUAAAGAUGUUUUCAGAGCAAAGUUAAAUUUUAUAAUUGGGAAGCUAUGAAACUCUUCUGAAAUUGCUGUCUAGUCAUUGUACUGAGAACAGGAAUCCCAUUUUUCAAAGUACAGUGCGGACAACAGAGUACAAAGGUUAAGGGGAGAGAUACCUUGAGAAGCCUCCCUCAUAGUCGUAUAAAAAUGACAAGUACAUGAAGGUGGGAAAAAAAAUUCUUUUUGUAGAAAAUGUUAUUCCAAAAAUGGAUUUUUCCCUGGGCAAGCUGUGCCAGUUGCCCCUCACACGGUGCAUGGUGCCUGGGGAAGAUGCUCUCCUUUUCAUCACUCUUUUGUCAUUGAAAUCUGCCUUCUUGAUUGCCCCUUCCUCUAAGUCUGGAUUCAGGUAAGGGAUGAAUUCGAACUCCGCCAUGUUCUAUUGAGAGAUGAAAGGUUAAGUGAAAAGUGAGUGCAUUGAGAGGGUGUGGGAGAAAAUUUUAUUAGGAACCAUAAAAUUAUGAACAUAAUUAUGCCUCAUAGAGUUCCAGCAUGUUGUAUCUAAACUGCAUUUGACUAGUUCUUUAUAUUAUUUAUAUUUGUUAUUACAAAUUGAUCCUGAAUAAUAUCAAUUUCUUAAUAAAGAAUUGUAGAGCUGAAUCUAUUUCAUU
ensembl:lncRNA